rnacentral:rRNA from 1 species
AUGGUUAGAGGUCUGUUGGAAAUCCCUUCUUUGGAAGAGUUCAGACAUCUGCGUGUUCUCGACUUGAUGGCUUGCUCCAAAUUGGAAGACCAUCAUCUUGAAAAUAUAGUGAGGUUGUUCCAGCUGAGGUACCUGAACCUCCAAGGUACAAGAAUAAGCAAGCUCCCAGAACAAAUUGGGCGUUUAGGGUGCUUAGAGAUUCUGGACCUAAAAAACGCUUGUGUAGAGAAAUUACCUGCAUCUAUUGUGAAUCUCAGAAAAUUGAUGCAUCUACUUGUUAAUGAUGCUGUUAAAUUUCCUGAUGGGAUUGCAAAGAUGCAAGCACUAGAGACGUUGAAAGAUGUCGAUGCCUCCAUUCAGCCAUUUGACUUCCUGUGUGGCCUUGGCCAACUCCUGUGUGGCCUUGGCCAACUAAAGAAUUUGAGGAGUCUGGAGCUUGACCAUUCUAAGAGACUCUUACAUGAGGAUACUGAUGUGAUUGGUGAGGAUCGCAACAAUUCUAUGGUCUCUUCCCUGUGUAAGCUAGGCACCCAGAAUCUCCGCUCCCUGAUUAUUAGGAAUGAUUGGGGCGGCCUCUUACAUGAGGAAUCUUUGUUACUGCCUACCCUCCAGGACCUUGCUAUCUGUUUUCCGGCCUCUGUUCCGACAUGGGUGGGCUCCCUCAGAAACCUCCAACGGCUACGCCUUGAUGUGGAGGGGCUCAAGCAGGAUGACCUCUGCACCCUUGGGGCCUUACCCAGUCUUCUCGUUUUGCAUCUGGUGGGAGAAGCAGAGUCAAACGGAAAGCUCAGAUUCAGUGGUGAGGUUUGGUUCCGAUUCUUGAAGAUUUUUAUUUAUGAUGCAUGGCCUAAACCAGUAGAUAUGAUGUUUGGGGCAGGGUCCAUGCCUAAGCUAGAAAAACUCGAGCUUCGUUUAUUGUGUGUAGUUGAAGCUGACUGUGUGGACUUUGGAAUUGGGAACCUCCCCUGCGUCAGUAUCAUCAAAUUUUUUGGUGUUGGUGGUGACUAG